rnacentral:lncRNA from 1 species
UGUUGUAGUGGCUUAUCUUUUUCCAGCACACGUUCAGUUCUUGCAAAGCUUUAAGAACUUCGGUCAUUAUCUCACGGGGAUGUGCUCUAGACCAAAAACUACCUGAAGCCCGAGAGCCCAUUUUCUCUUGACUUGGUUUCUAAAAUUACCCCUUGAUAAUCCAUAUAAGUCGCUGAGCGUUGUGGCAUCAUUGAAGCACCAACCUCGUUUCGGUUGAAUCCAUCCUACAAUCAUAAACAAGUAAAAAACAACAUUUGGAUACAUCAGAAUCGAGUAAAAUGCCAUUUGC